rnacentral:rRNA from 1 species
GAUAAACGCUAGCUACAGGCUUAACACAUGCAAGUCGAGGGGAAACGACAUCGAAAGCUUGCUUUUGAUGGGCGUCGACCGGCGCACGGGUGAGUAACGCGUAUCCAACCUGCCCACCACUUGGGGAUAACCUUGCGAAAGUAAGACUAAUACCCAAUGACGUCUCUAGAAGACAUCUGAAAGAGAUUAAAGAUUUAUCGGUGAUGGAUGGGGAUGCGUCUGAUUAGCUUGUUGGCGGGGUAACGGCCCACCAAGGCAACGAUCAGUAGGGGUUCUUAGAGGAAGGUCCCCCACAUUGGAACUGGGACACGGUCCAAACUCCUACGGGAGGCAGCAGUGAGGAAUAUUGGUCAAUGGGCGGGAGCCUGAACCAGCCAAGUAGCGUGCAGGAUGACGGCCCUAUGGGUUGUAAACUGCUUUUAUAAGGGAAUAAAGUGAGUCUCGUGAGACUUUUUGCAUGUACCUUAUGAAUAAGGACCGGCUAAUUCCGUGCCAGCCGCCGCCGUAA